UACGUAGGGCGCAAGCGUUGUCCGGAAUUAUUGGGCGUAAAGGGCUCGUAGGCGGUUUGUCGCGUCUGCUGUGAAAACCUAAGGCUCAACCUUGGGCUUGCAGUGGGUACGGGCAGACUAGAGUGCGGUAGGGGUGACUGGAAUUCCUGGUGUAGCGGUGGAAUGCGCAGAUAUCAGGAGGAACACCGAUGGCGAAGGCAGGUCACUGGGCCGCAACUGACGCUGAGGAGCGAAAGCAUGGGGAGCGAACAGG
rnacentral:rRNA from 1 species